rnacentral:rRNA from 1 species
GACGAACGCUGGCGGCGUGCUUAACACAUGCAAGUCGAACGGAAAGGCCCUGCUUGCAGGGUACUCGAGUGGCGAACGGGUGAGUAACACGUGGGUGAUCUGCCCUGCACUUCGGGAUAAGCCUGGGAAACUGGGUCUAAUACCGGAUAGGAGCCAUUUUUAGUGUGAUGGUUGGAAAGUUUUUUCGGUGUAGGAUGAGCUCGCGGCCUAUCAGCUUGUUGGUGGGGUAAUGGCCUACCAAGGCGGCGACGGGUAGCCGGCCUGAGAGGGUGGACGGCCACAAUGGGGCCUGGGUUAGGCCCAGGCCCCUAAGGGGGGGCAGCGGGGGGAAAAUUGGACCAUGGGGGCCAGGCUUGUGCAGCGACGCCGCGGGGGGGAAUGCCGCCUUCGGGGUGUAAAAUCCCUUUGCUAUGGACGAAGCUUUUUGUGACGGUACCUAGAUAAGAAGCACCGGCUAACUACGUG